CAAGGGGAAAAAACCCUUUCCCGAUCGAGAAACCCUCGCCUAGUCGCCGCCGCCCUCGUUAGUCAUCAACCGCGUUUCCCCGCCGGCCGCCGCGCCGCCCGCCUGGUCCGGUGUCCUGACCACCUGCCUCUCCUUCUUUCGAUCUUAUCGAAGUGUUCCUAUAUUACAGUGCACGCACACAUUGCGGUACAGCGGCACAGGAGAUUAUAAGUCCAAGAUGAAGAGAACCCGUACAGUUGAAUCUUUCCAAUCAGUUGAGCGUGAUGAAACACAAGGGGCUACUACCUCGUGGACUUUGUGAAAUGAUCCAGGUACUUCUACUAUUGCUGGUGAAGAAAUGAUGGCCUUGAAUUAAGGAAGUCUUUGGUAAUUUGGUACCAAACCAUGUUUGCAAUGAUGCACUUUGUUAAACUAUCUUUUUUACGGAAUUUCCUCUUGUGAUAGUAAUGAAUUUAUAUUUCAUUUUGAA